GGCGUGGGCUGGGGGCUUACAGGUCCAGGAAGGAGGCCGGGCCCAGCUCUGGACAGGGCGUGGGCUGGGGGCUUACAGGUCCAGGAAUGAGGCUGCGCUCAGCUCUGGACAGGGCGUGGGCUGGGGGCUUACAGCUCCAGGACAGGGCGAGGUAGAGGAGUGAAGGCUGUGAAGAGGAACCCUCAGGGGUGAAGGGGAUUCAGCUUAAACUGACCUGCUGCCCUGGGGACAGUGGAAGAUGAGGAGCUCCAUCAGCUGUCAAGGGCGAUGGGACACAGGGAAGGAGGUCCUUGCUAAACUGACUGAGCCAGGCCUGUUAAAUCAGGUUCUCACCAGGAUGUGCACAGCACCCAGGAGGAGCUCAGGAGUCGGGCUGCCAUUGCCAAGCAGGGAGCCUGUUACCUGUCAGUGGGCACUCUGCUUCCAGGCGCUUGGCCCGUGUUGCAGAGGCCGGAGACGCUGCAGCCAUGCGCUGGCCUUCCCGGUGCUCGUGCAUGUCCUGCUGCUUGGCACAGCGGAGUUGCAUAUCCAGAUCCAGCCCUGGGCAGCAGCCUCCUCACAGCCCCCAGACCCGGCCUGUCUGUGACGGUCACACCUGCUCAGGGAACUGUCCCUCCAGUGCAGAUGCAUGCUGGCUCUCGGGCUGUGUUUGGGUGGUGGCUCUGGUGUGGGGGUCCUACCAGCCCCGAGGUUCAUACUCCCCUGUUCUCAGGGCUUGGAGGGUGCCAUGUUCUGAAAACGAUCUUCCCCAGCCAGGGAGGCCACAUCUUUCACAGCACACUGCUUUCUCUGGAGGUGGCAUUUCUUUAUUUGCCUUCUGUGCCCGGGAACCUAACUUCCUCACUCCGGCCCGCUCUGCCAGCAGCUUUGAGCUGGUCCAGCACCCCACUGCCAGGCCUUGGCCUGCGCCUGGCCCUCCAGGGUGGCUCCUGGCCAGUUCCCAUCAGGCUGCCUGGGCAGUCAGGCCUGGGCACUUUUCUGUGGUUCAGAAAACCCACAGGCCGUGGGGCCCCGGAGCCUGGUAGCACCAGCUUCCCUGCCCUGCCCGCCUCAAGGGUGCCUGGGGGUGCCCCAGCCUGCCGCCCCCACAGUCCAUUCUCCAGUGCCUGUCUCUGAGCAGGCUAGCAUGGGCUGAGUGACCAGCGUGAUCGCGUACAGGCCAGUGCCACAUUCUGUGUGGUUCAAGGAAAACCCUUCUCCAAGUCCGAGGCCCGCCCUUUCCUCUGCUGGAUUUCGGCCGAGGCCGCCGCGCCAGACCUCACUGGAGGACAUGGACCCUGGACCCGACCCUCAAAGCUGCUGCCUUCCCAUUUCCCAGUGCCCUGGACACUCUUGGUCUUACCAUUUGGGAGGCUGACGGGAUGCAGAGUGGCCUGUCGGAAAGGUCUUGUGUGACCCCAGGCCGAGUCCCUGAGCAGCCCACCCCGAGACCAGAGGGGAAAAGAGCCGAGCUUCUCCCUCGCUGGGCUGGGCUCGGGCUGUGGAAGGGCUGCCAGCUCCCUUCCUGGUAGAGGCUGGGUGGGGUCCACAGGGCCUUCCUCCAGCCCAGAAGGAAGCUGCUGUCUUCUGCUGUUGGCUGCUGAGAGAGCUGGGGGUCACCGGCGUUCAGAUUCACCCGGAUUUGCACCCUGCAAAUCCCAGACUCACCUUCCCACUCUUUCCAGAGUCCCCAGAGACACACUUAAGGGAAAUUCAACUGCAGAAUGCAAGAGAUGCCUCAGUCACACCAGCGGAAACGUAUGGGUCACGGUGGGCGGGCACUCACCUGCCGCAGGAGGAUGGCUUUGAUUCUAGCACUUUCCACAUGGGGUGAAUGUGGCGGGCUUGGGGGAUUUUUCAAAUGCGUCAGUGUCUGGAAUGGGUUCUAAGCUACCAAAAAAUUCUUAGAGGUAAAUUACAGACGUGUUGCCUCAUCAUAGCUAGACAGCAUUCCCUGUAUGGUGAAGUCUCUCCUCCACCCGCAGUGACAGAUACUCACAGACACCACGGCCGCUGUCACUCCCCUGCUGCGCGCCUCCCACGUGCCUCCAAACGUGCGUCCAUUGCUCUGUCUUUCCUGCGAAGUUACUCACCCUAGUGGUCAGCCCACCGACAGAAUGGAUUUGGACCUACUGGACCUGAAUCCCAGAAUUAUUGCCGCAGUUAAGAAAGCCAAACUGAAAUCGGUAAAAGAGGUUUUGCACUUUUCUGGACCAGACUUGAAGAGACUGACCAACCUCUCCAGCCCCGAGGUCUGGCACUUGCUGAGAACAGCCUCCUUACACCUGCGGGGAAGCAGCAUUCUUACAGCACUACACCUGCACCAGCAAAAGGAGCAGUUCCCCGCACAGCAUCAGCGCCUGAGCCUCGGCUGCCCGGUACUGGACGCGCUUCUCCGUGGUGGCCUGCCCCUGGAUGGCAUCACCGAGCUAGCUGGACGCAGUUCGGCAGGAAAGACCCAGCUGGCGCUGCAGCUCUGCCUGGCCGUGCAGUUCCCACGGCAGCAUGGAGGCCUAGAGUCUGGAGCCGUCUACAUCUGCACAGAAGACGCCUUCCCACACAAGCGCCUGCAGCAGCUCAUGGCCCACCAGCCACGGCUGCGCACUGACGUUCCAGGAGAGCUGCUUCAGAGGCUCCCAUCUGGCAGCCAGAUCUUCAUCGAGCACGCAGCCGACGUGGACACCUUGUUGGAGUGUGUGAAUAAGAAGGUCCCUGUUCUGCUGUCUCGGGGCAUGGCUCGCCUGGUGGUCAUCGACUCGGUGGCAGCCCCAUUCCGCUGUGAGUUUGACAGCCAGGCCUCCGUCCCCAGGGCCAGGCAUCUGCAGUCCCUGGGGGCCACACUGCGUGAGCUGAGCAGUACCUUCCAGAGCCCCGUGCUGUGCAUCAACCAGGUGACAGAGGCCAUGGAGGAGCAGGGCACAGCGCACGGACCGCCGGGAUUCUGGGACGAGCGUAUUUUCCCGGCCCUUGGCAUAACCUGGGCCAACCAGCUUCUGGUGAGACUGCUGGCUGACCGGCUCCGUGAGGAAGAGGCUGCCCUCGGCCAGCCGGUCCGGACCCUGCGGGUGCUCUUUGCCCCCCACCUGCCCCCCUCUUCUUGUUCCUACACAAUCAGUACAGAAGGGGUGCGAGGGACAUCUGGGACCCAGUCCCACUGACACGACAGCAGCUGCAGAACAGCCGUGCCUGAGAAGCACUGACACACUGGCACUCCGGCCUUGAAAAUGCUAUGUGCCUUGGCCAUGGCACAGCUGGGAACCUGGUUCUGAGCCGUCUUCCAGGGCAGCAGCUCCACUUUCUCAACCAAAGAUGGUGACCACGGACUGACCCCCACCUGAUCUGGGUGGGGGGGCGGGGGGCGCUGUUCCACCCCUCCCUGGAUUUGGGCACCUGGUCCCCACUGCUGAGCUCGCCCCUGGGGGCAGGUGAUUCUCAGGGCUGGGGCCUGGGGGUGUCCCUACAGUGACUCCCUGGGAACCCCCUGCUUCGGCUUCCCACAUGGAAGCCCACCUGGGGUCAGGUCUGAGGCCUGGCACCUCAGACCCGUGCAGCCCCUGGGACCCUCCUCCACACAGAGCAGUCCUUACUUCCCCUACCACCCAGGCUACAGCAGGGCUGCAGGCAGGUGGCUCCUCCUCACCCACCUUUGGGUCCUUGGCUCCUGGGGGCCCCAUCCCAGCACACAUGGUGCCCCUCAAAACUUCAAUGUGGUACAAGGUGAAGAGAGCAUAUCCCACUGACCUCCAGCUUCAGAGUCCAGGGGAGCCCGGGGGAGGGGGGACUGCCUUGACUCUAGUAGUGUGGCCUGUGCCAGCACCACAGCCAGAUGGAGGAGCUCAGGCAGUGCAGGGCUGGCACGUGAUAGGCUCAUCAGUUAGCUAGCUCAUCAGUUAUGGCAGGACUCCUGGCAGGGCAACCUGCACACCCAGCCGCACACUGCCCAGGCCCUACAUCUGGCUGCAGAUGCUGACACAUCUGCCUAGUGGUGAGAAGUGGCGUGGCCUCCCCAUGGGCAGAGCAAGGACCCUCUUGAUUCCCACCGCAAACCCUCCUCCACCCCCAAGUGCCCCCAUGUGCUGCCUGGCACCGAGCAGGCCUUUGACAAAUAAACAGCAAAUGGAUGCAGCUCCAGGACCUGCUUCCUGCUGUCUGCCAGCCAUUCCUCUAAGUAAUCUAUGCACAUGGAAGUAUGUUCUCGUCACAGCUCCUGGGGACAGGCAAGACAUGCCAGCAGUGAGAAAACGAGACACAGCUUAACGACAGCCCUGAGACAGCUGGCGCCCCGGCAAGAUGCCGUCAGACGUGAGUGCUCUACGGGACUCAGAAACCUGACCACAGUGUACACACAGCUCACGAGUGCGUGCCAACAGAAGCUAAUGACCUCCUCCAGGAAAAUUCCAUAACGUUAUGAUAGUGCAAAGCCUGUUAUAGACUGUAACCAUACCUCCUUAGCAGUGUUUAAUAUAUCUUACUAUAAAUACUGAAUUUCUAAUUACAUGAUAUUCCUAGCA